GCAUGGCAACAAUAUCGUCGAAUGAACAGGAUAACUGCAGCUUUGAAAGGUCUUACGACAUUUCAUCAAAUGUCAUCUUUCCUGAUGCGUACAGCGCGGUGUCAUGCAAAUGCAAUGGAGAUAAUAAAAGACAUAGAUGCAUAAAUAUACAGGUAAAAUAACGUGUAAUAAACUAUAG